rnacentral:rRNA from 1 species
UACGGAAGGGGGCUAGCGUUGUUCGGAAUCACUGGGCGUAAAGGGCGCGUAGGCGGCUUUAUAAGUCGGGGGGUGAAAGCCUGUGGCUCAACCACAGAAUUGCCUUCGAUACUGUAGAGCUUGAGACCGGAAGAGGUAAGUGGAACUGCGAGUGUAGAGGUGAAAUUCGUAGAUAUUCGCAAGAACACCAGUGGCGAAGGCGGCUUACUGGUCCGGUUCUGGACGCUGAGGCGCGAAAGCGUGGGGAGCAAACAGG